UACGGGGGGGGCAAGCGUUGUUCGGAAUUACUGGGCGUAAAGGGCUUGUAGGUGGCCAACUAAGUCAGACGUGAGAUCCCUCGGCUUAACCGGGGAACUGCGUCUGAUACUGGAUGGCUUGAGUGUGGGAGAGGGAUGCGGAAUUCCAGGUGUAGCGGUGAAAUGCGUAGAUAUCUGGAGGAACACCGGUGGCGAAGGCGGGUCUCUGGGCCGAUACUGACGCUGAGGAGCGAAAGCAUGGGUAGCGAACAGG
rnacentral:rRNA from 1 species